AUAUACCUAUGUGCAUAUUUAUUUUUUUUUCUUAUGAGGGAGUCAGUUUUCAUAAAAAUACAUCGUAAAUGAGGGAUUGUGGCAUAAAUAUCAGAAUUAGAGCAUUUUGAUCAUAUAUUUAAAAAAAAAAUAUUUUUGUGUUAUUUGGUGUGCGAAACAUACCAAAAUUCUGAAUAAAGGCGAAACCGUUUGAUUAAGUUUCAAAGUUUAUCAAUUUGUGGGCAUUUAAAAGCAAUGAAACCCAACCUGAAACCUCUUAUAAUAAAUAUCUCUUUUACUCAUUCUUCAAGUCACUGGUUGGGAAAGACGUUGUAGUGGAACUGAAAAAUGAUGUCAGCAUUUGCGGGACACUUCAUUCUGUAGAUCAGUAUCUUAACAUAAAACUCAAUGAUAUAAAUAUAACAGAUC